rnacentral:pre_miRNA from 1 species
UAGUUUUGUUCUAGGUCAAACUUAUCUAACUUUGACUGAGUUUAUUGAUAAAUGCACCAACAUCUACACUAACAAAUCUAUACACUAUCAAAACUUAUUACAUGGUGGAUUUAAUAAAACCAAUUUGUUGUUGUAGAUGUUGGUUCAUUUUUUUAUAAACUUGUCAAAGUUAGAGAAGUUUGAUUUAGGAUGAAACCAA